UCCUGGCUUAGGACGAACGCUGGCGGCGUGCCUAAUACAUGCAAGUCAAACGGCUUUCUAUGGAAGCUUGCUUCCACUGAGAAGAUAGUGGCGAACGGGUGAGUAACACGUGGGUAACCUGCCCAUAAGAGGGGGAUAACAUCCGGAAACGGGUGCUAAUACCGCAUAAUUUUCUUGAUCGCAUGAUUGAGAAAGGAAAGACGGCCUUUGUGCUGUCGCUUAUGGAUGGACCCGCGGCGUAUUAGUUAGUUGGUGAGGUAACGGCUCACCAAGACGAUGAUACGUAGCCGACCUGAGAGGGUGAUCGGCCACAUUGGGACUGAGACACGGCCCAAACUCCUACGGGAGGCAGCAGUAGGGAAUCUUCCGCAAUGGACGAAAGUCUGACGGAGCAACGCCGCGUGAGUGAAGAAAAGGUUUUCGGAUCGUAAAACUCUGUUGUCAGAGAAGAACAAGUUGGAGAGUAACUGCUCCAGCCUUGACGGUAUCUGACCAGAAAGCCACGGCUAACUACGUGCCAGCAGCCGC
rnacentral:rRNA from 1 species